rnacentral:rRNA from 1 species
UACAGAGGGUGCGAGCGUUAAUCGGAAUUACUGGGCGUAAAGCGCACGUAGGCGGCUUGGUAUGUCGGGUGUGAAAUCCCCGGGCUCAACCUGGGAACUGCAUCCGAAACUGCCUUGCUAGAGUAUGGGAGAGGGAAGUGGAAUUUACGGUGUAGCGGUGAAAUGCGUAGAUAUCGUAAGGAAGACCAGUGGCGAAGGCGGGUCUCUGGACAGUUCCUGACGCUGAGGCACGAAGGUCAGGGGAGCAAACGGG